rnacentral:rRNA from 1 species
AGUGAACGCUGGCGGUAGGCCUAACACAUGCAAGUCGAACGGCAGCACAGUAAGAGCUUGCUCUUACGGGUGGCGAGUGGCGGACGGGAGAGGAAUACAUCGGAAUCUACUUUUUCGUGGGGGAUAACGUAGGGAAACUUACGCUAAUACCGCAUACGACCUACGGGUGAAAGCAGGGGAUCUUCGGACCUUGCGCGAAUGAAUGAGCCGAUGUCGGAUUAGCUAGUUGGCGGGGUAAAGGCCCACCAAGGCGACGAUCCGUAGCUGGUCUGAGAGGAUGAUCAGCCACACUGGAGCUGAGACACGGUCCAGACUCCUACGGGAGGCAGCAGUGGGGAAUAUUGGACAAUGGGCGCAAGCCUGAUCCAGCCAUACCGCGUGGGUGAAGAAGGCCUUCGGGUUGUAAAGCCCUUUUGUUGGUAAAGAAAAGCAGCAGGUUAAUACCCCGCUGUUCUGACGGUACCCAAAGAAUAAGCACCGGCUAACUUCGUG